ensembl:lncRNA
GAAAAAUAAAAGAGAGACAGAAAGAGACUCAGAAAGAGGCAGAGAGAAAGGAAGUGAGUGAAAUUCAGGCGUGUCUCUGAGAUUUAGGUAUAAAGAGAGCUUAGUGUGUAGUCAGGGUCCAGUACAUCAGUAUGGAGAAAGCUGUGUGGAUACUGGCUCUUCUGUGUCUGGAGGUCUGUCUGCUCUCCACAGAGGCCCAACCUGGAACAGACAGACUGACAGCUGCCCAAACCAACCAAGACAUGAAUUCAAGGAUUAAAAGAGAGGUGAGUGACCAGAGUGAAUGCCAGAAGAAGCCUAACAAACAAUGUCCCAACCACAUUGGAGUGUUUGGUCCUUUGUCAGACCAAGGAGAUUCUCCAGUACUUCCUCCUCAUCAACCUCGUCCAUUUCCUUCAACUCUGGAUUCAAGGAUUAAAAGAGAGGGGAGGGACCAGAGUGAACGCCAGAAGAAGCCUAACAACUACCCAGGAGUGUGGAGUCAUUUGGGAAGAGGCAACCAAUCACAAACAGAAACAUCCAAAGAGUUUGUAUAGAAAACAAAGCUUGAGGAAAGGUGCUUAUUGAGACGUCUUGGUGACAUCACGGAUUAAAGGGUCAUUAAAUGAUAACUGUUCUUUUCUUUGUCACAACAAUAUGUUGAGCUACCUUCCUUCUCUUUCUUUUCAUCUUCCUUGGCCGUUUCCUCCAACUCAUCACCAGGAUCGUCUUUACAUGCAUAUAUACCACAUCGUAAUCUGAGGGGGGCCUGUAAGGACAGCUUGCACCCCGGCCCGGCAGCACCACGCUACACCAGUACAUCCACUGUAUUUGUGACAGCUGCGCCCUCUGCUGCUUCACCUCCCCCUGCAGCAGACAGACUCCAGCGUUCGACGUCACCGGCCUUCUGACACCACCGUCCAUCUCAUCAUGCAUUUCACCUGUGUCUUGUUUAGCGCACCUGGUUCUCAUCCUCAUCAUUCCCCCCAGUAUAUGUGUUCCCUCUGCUCCCCCUGUCUAUGUGUGUAAUUGUCUCUGUGUUACAAAGAGCAGUGUUGCGCUUCGCAUAUAUCACUCGAUUAUUAAAAGAUUCUACAAAAGUAUUACGCCGUUCUCCUGCUCCUCCUUGUUCCGCCCCGAAGACGUGACAGUGUUUGAAUAUCUAUUGUGGCAGGUGACGGGGAG